GACGAACGCUGGCGGCGUGCUUAACACAUGCAAGUCGAACGGAAAGGCCCUGCUUUUGUGGGGUGCUCGAGUGGCGAACGGGUGAGUAACACGUGAGUAACCUGCCCUUGACUUUGGGAUAACUUCAGGAAACUGGGGCUAAUACCGGAUAGGAGCUCCUGCUGCAUGGUGGGGGUUGGAUAGUUUCGGCGGUUGGGGAUGGACUCGCGGCUUAUCGGCUUGUUGGUUGGGUAGUGGCUUACCAAGGCUUUGACGGGUAGCCGGCCUGAGAGGGUGACCGGUCACAAUGGGACUGAGAUACGGCCCAGCCUCCAACGGUAGGCAACGGUGGGGAAGAGUGCACAGUGGGCGGGAGCCUGAUGCGGCAACGCCGCGUGCGGGAAGACGUCCUUCGGGUUGUAAACCGCUUUCGCCUGUGACGAAGCGUUAGUGACGGUAAUGGGUAAAGAAGCACCGGCUAACUACGUG
rnacentral:rRNA from 1 species